CAGUAAGUAAGGUUUCUCGACAAGCAAGCAGGUUCCUCCAUUUACUCGGGUUUUAUUUCAGAAGCAUCGAGAUAUCGUAGUGUUACCGCAUUAGUUUUAAUGUCUGGAACGGCGACUCGGCGAGGUAUAAUGGUGUUACUCCGUGAAUCCGUAUACUGAUGUCUGAACUACCGUUUUUGGACGAUAGCAGGAGGAAAUAACUCGACUGUUUGAACUUGUGACUGGACUUUGGUAGUUUGAAGGAUGGUGUUCGUGGUGACUUUCCCAGGCUUUGCAAAAGACUCCUUCAACACCAGAGGAAUGGAAAAAUGUGAGCAAUGAUUUCUGGAGAAUGUGGAAUUUCCCAAACUGCCUUGGAGCCAUUGACGGCAAACAUAUUGAAAUACGGCAGCCGCCUGGUACCGGGUCCUAUUUCUAUAACUACAAAGGCACUUAUAGUAUCAUUCUUAUGGCUAUAUGUGACGCUAAUUGAAGUUUCAUUUAUGUAAAUGUUGGUGUCAAUGGACGGGUGUCUGACGGAGGUGUGUGGGCGAACACCAGUAUCAGUCGGCGUAUUGUCAAUCACACUUCCGGAUGCCAGAGGAUGCCAAGCUACCUGGGAGCGAUAAAACCUUGCCAUUUGUCUUUUUGGCAGACGACGCUUUUCCUUUGCAACGUCAUAUAAUGAAGCCAUAUCCAUACCAGAAACAAACUACAAGCGAACGGAUAGAUAUAGAUAUUUUUAUUGACCACAAUACAAAAUGAUAUGAAUUUUACAAAAGAGUAUUUGGUCCAAAUUACAAAAUUAAGUACAGUAGAUUUUGUACAAUCUCUUAUACAAACUAAAUGAAUUUCAAUUACACAUGUAUAUUGUACUAAAACUAAAACAAAACCAAUUUAAUCAUACGCCAUCAACAAGUUCCUGUAAUUACAUUUUACACAUUAUAAUAGCGUGUUACAUUCAAUACAAGGAAAGAAGCUUAUGUACAAUUUUACAUACAUUAUAAUCGGUUCUGGUUACUAGCAAGUCUAAAGCUGUGGUAACGUUAUACGUCUGCCUGAU